GGAUAUUCAUAUCCUUGCUACGCCAUUGGCAGUGGGGAUUUGGUUGGUCCGUUGUUGUUUAGUCUCAGCAAUCGCGUGGGCGUGUGAGAUUGUAAUUGGGAUUUUUGUGUUGGCUGGCUCCAUGCUUGUGCAUCGAACGGUCUGCAAGCAAUCCUCCCCAGUACUCACCUUAUGCCUCGUGCAUUGGUGUUUGCUUCGGUUCCUGUGUUGGCUACCUAUUGAAGGCAUUCGGGUGGUUUUGCUGAACAAAUACCAUCUCGGCCUCUUUUGUGGGGUCGUGGAGGGCUUGGAAGCGACGCGUGUGUGCCCACUUGGUCUCGCUCCACGGUGACUCUUUUGGUCCGCAUGCGCUCGUUGUGUUCUUGGAUGCGGUGCAUGAGGUGAGCGUGGGUAUUUUUUCCCACCGUGUCCCUUUACUUUCGGUUGACGUGAAUGAUCUCUGUCUUUUUUUGCAAUGCUUGCUUUCGACUAGUCGGUGCAAAGCUUGCAACUAGAGCAGUGUCAUUGAUGGAUGCUACCUGGUUGAUCCUGCCAGUAGUCAUAUGCUUGUCUCAAAGAUUAAGCCAUGCAGGUGUAAGUA
rnacentral:misc_RNA from 1 species